AUUGAACGCUGGCGGCAGGCCUAACACAUGCAAGUCGAGCGGCAGCGGGAAAGUAGCUUGCUACUUUUGCCGGCGAGCGGCGGACGGGUGAGUAAUGCCUGGGGAUCUGCCCAGUCGAGGGGGAUAACAGUUGGAAACGACUGCUAAUACCGCAUACGCCCUACGGGGGAAAGCAGGGGACCUUCGGGCCUUGCGCGACUGGAUGAACCCAGGGGGGAUUAGCUAGUUGGUGAGGUAAUGGCUCACCAAGGCGACGAUCCCUAGCUGGUCUGAGAGGAUGAUCAGCCACACUGGAACUGAGACACGGUCCAGACUCCUACGGGAGGCAGCAGUGGGGAAUAUUGCACAAUGGGGAAACCCUGAUGCAGCCAUGCCGCGUGUGUGAAGAAGGCCUUCGGGUUGUAAAGCACUUUCAGCGAGGAGGAAAGGUUGGUAGCUAAUAACUGCCAGCUGUGACGUUACUCGCAGAAGAAGCACCGGCUAACUCCGUGCCAGCAGCCGCGGUAAG
rnacentral:rRNA from 1 species